GACGAACGCUGGCGGCGUGCUUAACACAUGCAGGUCGAACGAAGAGCGAUGGAAGCUUGCUUCUCUCAAUCUUAGUGGCGAACGGGUGAGUAACGCGUAAUCAACCUGCCCUUCAGAGGGGGACAACAGUUGGAAACGACUGCUAAUACCGCAUACGAUCUAAUCUCGGCAUCGAGGAUAGAUGAAAGGUGGCCUCUACAUGUAAGCUAUCACUGAAGGAGGGGAUUGCGUCUGAUUAGCUAGUUGGAGGGGUAACGGCCCACCAAGGCGAUGAUCAGUAGCCGGUCUGAGAGGAUGAACGGCCACAUUGGGACUGAGACACGGCCCAGACUCCUACGGGAGGCAGCAGUGGGGAAUCUUCCGCAAUGGACGAAAGUCUGACGGAGCAACGCCGCGUGAGUGAUGACGGCCUUCGGGUUGUAAAGCUCUGUUAAUCGGGACGAAAGGCCUUCUUGCGAAUAGUGAGAAGGAUUGACGGUACCGGAAUAGAAAGCCACGGCUAACUACGUG
rnacentral:rRNA from 1 species